rnacentral:rRNA from 1 species
UGUCCGGGAAACCGGUGCAGGGCCGACCUAACCCUUCUUUACGCGUACCUUUUAUUCUCCUUCGGCGGGGUCAAACCCGCCGCUGGAACUUCAAAACCCAUUUGCAUCCAGCAUUAACUGUUCUGAUAACAUAUAAUUGUUACAACUUUCAACAAUGGAUCUCUUGGCUCUGGCAUCGAUGAAGAACGCAGCGAAAUGCGAUAAGUAGUGUGAAUUGCAGAAUUCAGUGAAUCAUCGAAUCUUUGAACGCACAUUGCGCCCCUUGGUAUUCCAUGGGGCAUGCCUGUUCGAGCGUCAUUUACACCCUCAAGCACUGCUUGGUGUUGGGCGUCUGUCCCGCCUUCGCGCGUGGACUCGCCCCAAAGACAUUGGCAGCGGUCUCUGGCACCUCAACGCGCAGUACAAUGCGUAUUUGGGGCGCCGUUGGUCGCAACCAUUAAGCUAUCACCGUCUUUGACCUCGGAUCAGGUAGGGAUACCCGCUGAACUUAAGCAUAUCAA